UGGAGCAUGUAUGCAGAGGGGCGGCAGAGAAUGCCAGGACAGGGUUUGGGAAGCUGUGGCAAGUCCCACCUGAUCGCUACCGUCCUCUCCAUGAAUUCGUAGGCAGUUGCAACAGACCGGAAGAGAGCUGUAAUAAUGCGGGAAGGAUGAGUGGAAAUGAAAGGCAAUUCUCUCCUGGCCGUGGAACUAACAUAAAAGAAUUCAGUUAAGAUUUUAAAAUUUCGUCAUCAAGGCUCUGGUGCUCACAUACAAAAAGGGAGUGUUUGUUAUUGGGGGUGAACCUUGAGGUGGCCCUGGGGUCUGGACUGGAGGCCCCCAAGAGGCUGUAUAUUGUGGAUGUAGAGGCAUUAGAGGGAGGGAGCCGGACAACCAGGGCAUCCGGUUCAGAGCGCUGAGUGAGAGGAAAGCUACUCGGGACGCCAGGGAGGGGCGCGGCGUUUCCUGAUGCCCAGGGCAGGUGGGUGGGCAGGGCGAUACUCCGCUUGGGGAGAAGGAGAACAUUCCUGGGGCGGAGAGGCCAUCUUCGUGAGCCUUGAGGGGGGCCCGGAGGGAUCAGAGGAGUGAGGGCUGAGAGGGCGGACAGCGAGUGUGUUUCGGGACUGGCGUGUUCACUGGCUGGGGUGGGGAGGAGGACAAUAAACAGGGGACCCGUACAGGUGUCGCCCGUGGGGCGUGGGAGCUCCUGGGAACCUGCUGACAGUACCGGGAUAGCCCCGUCCCCGCGGUACUUCUGACAGGUCCGCAGACCCCUAAGGAGCCCGGGCCCAGCGACCGGCGCCGACGUCAUUCCACUCCGGCGCGCAUGCCCAGAAAGCACCAAUCGGAUCGCAGCGCUGACGAUUCUCCCUCCCUGGUGCCGGGACUUCCGGGCGCGGGCUUCCGGCCGCUGUUGGCAAACUUCCGAGGCAGGACGACGAAAAGGCUUUUGUGCGGCGGCCGAUUCGGCCGAGCCACUUGGGCCGUUCUCUGGCUUCCUCUGCCCUUCGGCGGCAUUCCACGUAGCUCCCACAGCCUCGAUCUGCACUUCGCCUCGCAGGGGAGUGGUAGAAAAGAUGGCUUUGCUUUCGCAACGUGUGGCGCUCAGUUUCUGUGGCCGCUAGGUGGCAGUAGUGCGCCGUGCAGGUUUUUCUGCCGUCCUCCUCCCCCGCCCUUCGUGCUUGGAAAAAGCAGCAGCGGCUUGUUGCCUCUAAACUGGAGCUGCCUUUCUGCGCCCGCGCGGGCAGGCCGCCUGGCGCCGGAUCUGCCCGGUUCCUCGCGUGGGGGGGGGGGGGCCUGCGAAAACGCACCGCCCCCGGACGAGACCCUUCUGCUUGGCCGCCGUGCCUCUCCCCAGUCGCUGCCUGGGUGCCUCAGCGCCUCGUCGUUCCGCGUCUCCGAGUCGCCUGCUCGGUGGCUUUCCCUAAGCCGCAGCCGUUAGCAGGCGCGGAGGGGAACCUGCACUGGGGAGUGUUUAAUUAAAGGCUAACAAACCUAUAGAGUUCGGGCUCAGGGAGAAUUCUGGAGGUGGGGUCGCCGGUGAAGGUGGCGCCAGGGCGCGCGCGAACUUGCUGAUGCGACUGUCCCUUCACGUAAACAUGCUUGAAAUGGUCAUUUUUAUGUUCUACCGAUUUUCCCACCCCAAGGGUGAGAGAAAACCUCUUUCUGGCGAAGGUGACACCGCGUGGGAGUUGUUCGAAAUGAGGCGUUGCACAAAUGGGUGGAACUGAAAUGCAGGUGUCAGAGAAGCCUUGAGAGAACAGAGAGCGAGGACCUUCAGCUGGGCGGAUGCCUGAGCUGAGUGACCCAGCGUGGAGGACCAGAAGGAUGUUGCCAUGACAGCGACUCCCACACUCCCUUCCAGCGCACGGGCCCUUCUCCCUCCCUCUCCGUGCCUGCUAGGAUCUCCCCUGAGAAUGGGAAUGUGCUUUGGCCAGCAGGGAAGGGAUCCGUGUAUGGUCGAGGAUGCAGGGGGAGAGGCGUAAUCUUGGGGUGUCUGCAGAAGGGACCAGAGCCCCAAAGAAAGCAGUCUGUACAACACUGAGGCCCCCGGAGACGACGAAGCCUGUGAAAGCAUAGUGGCCUCUAAAUGCGGUUCUGGGAUUUUCUCCAGCAGUGCACGGUGCUACACCGUUUUCUGAAGCCAAGCUCCAUGGCUCAGACCCUGGAAAAUGGGGCCUGUGUUGUUAAAGGAGAAUGGAGCCUGGCAUGGCUCGUGGAGGCCAUGACAGACUGGAGAAGGACCUGCUCCCCUCCGUGACAGCUCUCCUGAGUGACGGUGGCACUCCGUGUGUCUGUCUGGUCUGCUCAUCCUUCUGUGCUCCGUGUUGGGGUCCACUUACACGGGAUGUGAAACCUGGGCCUAGUUCAAGGAGAGGACAGGGCAGAGAUGCCCCAGUCUCCUCUAACGUGGACUGAUUGGAGGGUGGACGGAGGACGAGCUGCCCGGGGUGGUGAGGUGAGAACACACCUUCACUAGGGCUCCUCAGACCACAAGGCCACAUUGAUUAAUUUCUUCUCAAUGCCUGAUGUGAUCUUCGUGAUUGUUCACUGUCUGGACCUGCCAGAAACGGAGCAAACCACCCAGUGAAAUCAUUGCUGACCUGGUCCGGGGGGGUGGGAUGCAAUCAUGUGAAUGGUCUAGUUCAAUAAAUGCGCAGUCUCUCAGA